rnacentral:rRNA from 1 species
GAUGAACGCUGGCGGCGUGCCUAAUACAUGCAAGUCGAGCGAACAGACGAGGAGCUUGCUCCUCUGACGUUAGCGGCGGACGGGUGAGUAACACGUGGAUAACCUACCUAUAAGACUGGGAUAACUUCGGGAAACCGGAGCUAAUACCGGAUAAUAUAUUGAACCGCAUGGUUCAAUAGUGAAAGACGGUUUUGCUGUCACUUAUAGAUGGAUCCGCGCCGUAUUAGCUAGUUGGUAAGGUAACGGCUUACCAAGGCAACGAUGCGUAGACGACCUGAGAGGGUGAUCGGCCACACUGGAACUGAGACACGGUCCAGACUCCUACGGGAGGCAGCAGUAGGGAAUCUUCCGCAGUGGGCGAAAGCCUGACGGAGCAACGCCGCGUGAGUGAUGAAGGUCUUCGGAUCGUAAAACUCUGUUAUUAGGGAAAAACAAAUGUGUAAGUAACUAUGCACGUCUUGACGGUACCUAAUCAGAAAGCCACGGCUAACUACGUG